UAAAGUGCAACAGUUACAUCACCGAACAAAAAUAUGAUCGUCGAGAAUAAGACCAUAUAGUAGCUACAGAUAUCUGGAACAAGUAUUUAUUCAAGAAUGAUGAAAAAAGCAGCAGAUGAGAGAGCACUGACAAAGCAAAUUCCACGUCAUAUAAGCUUCUCAAAAAGUUUCACUGCAACACAUUUAUCAACGCAUGACCAGUAAUCAAAAUAUUGACCGGUACAAUGUUUGUGUCCAGUUUCGUCUUUUUGUACUCUCUUAACACAUUCCCGAUAUUCAUAUAAAGCUUUUACGCACUUCGGCUGGCAACGGUCCUCGAGAUAUUUCUUUGGGUCCACAACUUCAUCGUCUGCCAUUUGAGAUCGCGCUCGAGAUGAUUCAGCG
rnacentral:misc_RNA from 1 species